rnacentral:rRNA from 1 species
UACGGAGGGAGCUAGCGUUGUUCGGAAUUACUGGGCGUAAAGCGCACGUAGGCGGCUUUGUAAGUUAGAGGUGAAAGCCCGGGGCUCAACUCCGGAACUGCCUUUAAGACUGCAUCGCUUGAAUCCAGGAGAGGUGAGUGGAAUUCCGAGUGUAGAGGUGAAAUUCGUAGAUAUUCGGAAGAACACCAGUGGCGAAGGCGGCUCACUGGACUGUAUUGACGCUGAGGUGCGAAAGCGUGGGGAGCAAACAGG